GAAACCAACAGGGAUUGCCCUAGUAACGGCGAGUGAAGCGGCAACAGCUCAAAUUUGAAAUCUGGCUCUUUUAGAGUCCGAGUUGUAAUUUGCAGAGGGCGCUUUGGCGUUGGCAGCGGUCCAAGUUCUUUGGAACAGGACGUCACAGAGGGUGAGAAUCCCGUACGUGGUCGCUAGCCUUCGCCGUGUAAAGCCCCUUCGACGAGUCGAGUUGUUUGGGAAUGCAGCUCUAAAUGGGAGGUAAAUUUCUUCUAAAGCUAAAUACUGGCCAGAGACCGAUAGCGCACAAGUAGAGUGAUCGAAAGAUGAAAAGCACUUUGGAAAGAGAGUCAAAUAGCACGUGAAAUUGUUGAAAGGGAAGCGCUUGCAGCCAGACUUGCCUGUAGUUGCUUAUCCGGACUUUUGUCCGGUGCACUCUUCUGCGGGCAGGCCAGCAUCAGUUUGGGCGGUUGGAUAAAGGUCUCUGUCAUGUACCUCCCUUCGGGGAGGCCUUAUAGGGGAGACGACAUGCAACCAGCCUGGACUGAGGUCCGCGCAUCUGCUAGGAUGCUGGCGUAAUGGCUGUAAGCGGCCCGUCUUGAAACACGGACCAAGGAGUCUAACAUCUAUGCGAGUGUUUGGGUGUCAAGCCCAGACGCGUAAUGAAAGUGAACGGAGGUGGGAACCUUUUAGGUGCACCAUCGACCGAUCCUGAUGUCUUCGGAUGGAUUUGAGUAAGAGCAUGGCUGUUGGGACCCGAAAGAUGGUGAACUAUGCUUGAAUAGGGUGAAGCCAGAGGAAACUCUGGUGGAGGCUCGCAGCGGUUCUGACGUGCAAAUCGAUCGUCAAAUUUGGGCAUAGGGGCGAAAGACUAAUCGAAC
rnacentral:rRNA from 1 species